AACGAACGCUGGCGGCAUGCCUAACACAUGCAAGUCGAACGAGACCUUCGGGUCUAUUGGCGCACGGGUGCGUAACGCGUGGGAACCUGCCCUUAGGUUCGGACUACCUCCCCGAAUGGGGUGCUAAUACCGGAUAAUGUCUUCUGACCAAAGAUUUAUCGCCUUUGGAUGGUCCCGCGUUGGAUUAGCUAGUUGGUAGGGUAAAAGCCUACCAAGGCGACGAUCCAUAGCUGGUCUGAGAGAAUGAUCAGCCACACUGGGACUGAGAAACGGCCAAGACUCCUACGGGAGGCAGCAGUGGGGAAUAGUGGACAAUGGGCGAAAGCAUGAUCCGGCAAUGCCGCGUGAGUGAUGAAGGCAGUAGGGUUGUAAAGCGCUUUUAACCGGGAUGAUAAUGACAGUACCGGGAGAAUAAGCUCCGGCUAACUACGUG
rnacentral:rRNA from 1 species